GACGAACGCUGGCGGCGUGCUUAACACAUGCCAGUCGAACGGAAAGGCCCUGCUUUUGUGGGGUGCUCGAGUGGCGAACGGGUGAGUAACACGUGAGUAACCUGCCCUUGACUUUGGGAUAACUUCAGGAAACUGGGGCUAAUACCGGAUAGGAGCUCCUGCUGCAUGGUGGGGGUUGGAAAGUUUCGGCGGUUGUGGAUGGACUCGCGGCUUAUCAGCUUGUUGGUGGGGUAGUGGCUUACCAAGGCUUUGACGGGUAGCCGGCCUGAGAGGGUGAACGGCCACAUUGGGACUGAGAUACGGCGCAGACUCCUACGGGAGGCAGCAGUGGGGAAUAUUGCACAAUGGGCGGAAGCCUGAUGCAGCAACGCCGCGUGCGGGAUGACGGCCUUCGGGUUGUAAACCGCUUUCGCCUGUGACGAAGCGUGAGUGACGGUAAUGGGUAAAGAGGCACCGGCUAACUACGUG
rnacentral:rRNA from 1 species